GUGCCUUAAACUAAUGAGUAAGGAAAAUAAACAAGCCUUGGUGACGCUUGGCUUACAUGUUAGAAAAAUCUAACCUUUAAAUUUUUGUAGGAGUACAGGUCGUCCCGUGGGGUUAUGCAUACUUCGCAUGAUUCCUGGUGAAGCGAUCUGCUCC